rnacentral:rRNA from 1 species
UAGGGAAUCUUGGACAAUGGGCGAAAGCCUGAUCCAGCCAUGCCGCGUGAGUGAUGAAGGCCUUAGGGUUGUAAAGCUCUUUCGCCAGGGAAGAUAAUGACGGUACCUGGAUAAGAAGCCCCGGCAAACUUCGUGCCAGCAGCCGCGGUAAUACGAAGGGGGCUAGCGUUGUUCGGAAUUACUGGGCGUAAAGCGCACGUAGGCGGUUUUCCAAGUUGGAGGUGAAAUCCCUGGGCUCAACCCGGGAACUGCCUCCAAAACUGGAUGACUCGAGUCCGAGAGAGGUGAGUGGAAUUUCCAGUAUAGAGGUGAAAUUCGUAGAUAUUGGAAAGAACACCAGUGACGAAGGCGGCUCACUGGCUCGGUACUGACGCUGAGGUGCGACAGCGUGGGGA